GUUUUAAUAGUUUAAAUUAAAAUAAUGAUUUUGUAAAUCAUAGAUAGGAUUCACCUUUAAAACU
rnacentral:tRNA from 1 species